rnacentral:rRNA from 1 species
UACGUAGGUGGCAAGCGUUGUCCGGAAUUAUUGGGCGUAAAGCGCGCGCAGGUGGUUUAAUAAGUCUGAUGUGAAAGCCCCCGGCUCAACCGGGGAAGGUCAUUGGAAACUGGGGAACUUGAGUGCAGAAGAGGAGAGUGGAAUUCCAUGUGUAGCGGUGAAAUGCGUAGAUAUAUGGAGGAACACCAGUGGCGAAGGCGACUUUCUGGUCUGCAACUGACGCUGAUGUGCGAAAGCGUGGGGAUCAAACAGG